rnacentral:lncRNA from 1 species
GUUGAGAACAUGAUUUGCCAAAACAAAGUGGUUAUUUUAUAGUAAUCCAAGCUAAUAGUUUCUACAUCAAACACUCAAACGAUUUGAACUCUAGAACCGAGCUACUAUUUACUAGCCUCCAAUUUCACGCUAACUCUUCUAAUUUUUCAACUUGUAAUAACACAAUGCUAAGCUGAAUUCAAAUCGCAUGUAUUCAAACUAAUAUACUGACAUCAGCAUACAUGAAAUAUUAGAACCAUUUAAGGCUGCUUUUGUGAUUACUGAAACAAGUUAAACUACACUACUGAAUUCACACGUUCAUAAGCAAGAUAUAAAACCAAUUCACUUCACCAUUAAGAGAAGUCAUAGAACAGUCCAGUUAGCACAAAAUCAACAAACACUUAAACAAUAUCUAUGAACUAAAUGCUGAAUACAUAAAUCUGGAAUCAAUUUAUUUCUGCACGUUUCACGUGAACUCAGUUCUGUACAUUUCACCUCAUAGAUGUCAAGGAUACAAUUGUGUACCUGGAUAAUGGAAAUAUAAGGAGAAGAAGGAGUCAGCAACAACAGAUAACAUACAUCAUUACUUUGGAGUGCAAACAGCGAUAAAUCCAGUCAAUCUCAGUUCAGAAAACAACUCAAUGACCCAGGAAUCAAAUGAGACUAAUAUAACUACACAAAGCAGCACCAAAAUGAUCAGAAUACACACAGGAAUACUACAACAAUACAAAAUCCAGUAAACCGAUCCCAAAACUGACUUAAUUGAACUCAAAAUCAACUCGAAAUCAAGCCAUGAAGAAUGCAUGAACUUCAGCUACUAGAAUUUGAGCUAAUAAUGCAAAUCAACUAACUAAAACUAAAAAUUAGCUAAGAGAUGGAAUGAGACAGUACUUGUUUUUUGAUUUUCAGUAAUUUUUUUAUUUUUCUUUUGAAGAAGCUAAGAUAUAAAAAUAGUUAUGAGCUGAAAUUGAAUUUCAGAUCUGGAGGAUUGAAGAGUAUUUUUGGGGGGAAUUUUAUGAGCUCCAAAACUUGUGAAACAAGGCAUGGGAAUGCCUUUUUAUAGGAAUAGUGAGGUGCAACUUCUGAUUUCUUAUCUUACACUUUAGUCCCUCAAUUUCUGACUUGUUUCUCAAGUUACUGCCCUAAGUUUACUGAAUUCUACACUAAAGUCCUAUUCUAGAAGGCCCUAGGAUGUUCUUUUAGCUAUACAAUACCUAUACUACCCUUAUCUUGAUUUUGAAUUUACUAAUCUUCACAAAACAGUCCUUUUCAAUGCCCAAACUACCCCUGAAAACUUCCUGAAACUACUGACCCAACCAAACCCUUUACAUUAGCUAAGUUUUAACUAUAGUUAACUAAAAGGGUGACUCAAUCAGCUAAACCCAACCAACUUAUUUCAAACACUACAUUAAUCAAUACUAAUUAAUACUAAUAUCGAAUUAACAAUUAACAAACUGAUAAGUCUUAAAACAAAAGUAUAAACUGAACUCAAAUCCAAGUUGAAUCCCAAAUCAAAAUUCACAUGAACAGAACAAAGAGGAAGCCUAAUUACACUAACGAUCAAUUAGAAUUGAGCAUUUAACUAAGAAAAAAUCAAAAUCAAAUCAGAAUUUAAACAGAAGAAAAAUGAAAAUUAAUCUAAAAAAGGUUAUCCUAAACAUUCAUAACAAUCGAAGAGACGAACUUAAACUAAACUGGAAAUUAUGCUCGAUUGAACCAAACAAAACAAAUGAAUCAAACUAAAGAAAAGAAAGAAAAUAAAACUUACUGGAAUUCAGCUUUUAUGAGAAAAACAUCCGAAAUCGACUUUCGGUUAAUAUUAUACAUCUAUUUCACCAGAAAUAGACCUAUAAUAUUAACUAGAGAUCGAUCAACUUAAAAAUCUUCAACACUAACCCAGAACUGUGUGAACCCUAGAUCCAAAAUUUGUUGAGAUUCAGUGAGAUUCGAGGGGUUUCGGCCGAGGAUUCGAGAUGAGGGAGGUUAGGGGACUAUUGGGCAUUAAUUUGGUUGGAUUAGUGUGAGAUGGGGUUUUGGCCGAGUUUUUGAUUCAAUAUUCGAGACAAUGGGCUGUGAUUUGAGAAGAAAGAAGUGUAGAUACAGAAUGGGAAGGUAACGAGGAAGCCCUGGUGUAAAUGUCAGAGGAUUUGAAGACUUGCUGCCGGCGAAGGCGAUUUCCGGUCGGCGGCGGACCGCGGAGAUGGUGGAGGGUUCUCUGAGGCUUAUGAGAGAGAUGAGACGAGGAGGGGUAGUUUAGGGCAAUUAUAUACCAAUAAACAUAGGAUCAUCCUGUCCAUUGGAUCAAAAAUCAAGAGCCACGAUCAAAGACCAGAAACGAUGUCGUUUGGCAUUUUGGGCUGGAUUGGUCGGACACCAUUUGGGUCUGUUUGGACGGGGUAUAUUUGGGCGUCAUUGGGAAAUUUGGGCUGAAUCAAUGGCCCAAAUCUUGAUGUUUC